rnacentral:tRNA from 1 species
GCGCGAGUGGUGAAAUGGCAUACACGUAGCCUUGAGGUGGCUAUGCCCUUACGGGCGUGGAGGUUCAAGUCCUCUCUCGCGCA